UUAUUGGAGAGUUUGAUCCUGGCUCAGGACGAACGCUGGCGGCAUGCCUAACACAUGCAAGUCGAACGAAACGGAGGUCGGUCAUCAGAGGUCAGAAGUCAGAUUGAGCUAUCAUUAAUAGCUUCUAAAAUAUCUAAUUCUGACAUCCGAUUUCUGACGACUGACUUCCGUUUAGUGGCGGACGGG
rnacentral:ncRNA from 1 species